rnacentral:lncRNA from 1 species
GGGAAAAGCAACAGCAGCUCAGUCAGAUUCCAGAAGCUAUCUGGAAAGAAGAAGUUAAAUUAAUACUUCAAAUGGGGAAAACAAAUGUGAGAAACAGAUGCAAGAAACUGGCAGAGAAGCACCAGAGGAUUUAACCAACCUGGUCAUGAAGGCCUCAGGAUC